CAAUAGCGUAUAUUAAAGUUGUUGCAGUUAGAACGCUCGUAGUCGGAUUUCGGGGCGGGCCGACCGGUCUGCCGAUGGGUAUGCACUGGUCGGCGCGUCCUUCCUUCCGGAGACCGUCCCUACUCUUAACUGAGCGGGGGCGGGAGACGGGACUUUUACUUUGAAAAAAUCAGAGUGUUUCAAGCAGGCAGCUCGCUCUUGCAUGGAUUAGCAUGGGAUAAUGAAAUAGGACUUUGGUGCUAUUUUGUUGGUUUCGAACACCGAAGUAAUGAUGAGAAGGGACAGUCAGGGGCACUCGUAUUCCGCCGAGAGAGGCGAAAUUCUCAGACCAGCGGAAGACGAACCACUGCGAAAGCAUUUGCCAGGGAUGUUUUCACUGA
rnacentral:rRNA from 1 species